ACGACUCUCGACAACGGAUAUCUCGGCUCUCGCAUCGAUGAAGAACGUAGUGAAAUGCGAUACUUGGUGUGAAUUGCAGAAUCCCGUGAACCAUCGAGUUUUUGAACGCAAGUUGCGCCCGAAGCCUUCUGGCCGAGGGCACGUCUGCCUGGGCGUCACGCAU
rnacentral:rRNA from 1 species